GACGAACGCUGGCGGCGUGCUUAACACAUGCCAGUCGAACGGUGAACCUCUUCGGAGGGGAUCAGUGGCGAACGGGUGAGUAACACGUGGGCAACCUGCCCCCGGCUCUGGGAUAACUCCAAGAAAUUGGGGCUAAUACCGGAUGUUCACCGCUUCCCGCAUGGGUGGUGGUGCAAAGGGUUUCCGGCUGGGGAUGGGCCCGCGGCCUAUCAGCUUGUUGGUGGGGUAGUGGCCUACCAAGGCGACGACGGGUAGCCGGCCUGAGAGGGUGACCGGCCACACUGGGAUUGAGACACGGCCCAGACUCCUACGGGAGGCAGCAGUGGGGAACAUUGCGCAAAGGGCGGAAGCAUGACGCAGCGACGCCGCGUGGGGGAUGACGGCCUUCGGGUUGUAAAACUCUUUCAGCAGGGAAGAAGCGCAAGUGACGGUACCUGCAGAAGAAGCACCGGCCAACUACGU
rnacentral:rRNA from 1 species